UACGUAGGGGGCAAGCGUUGUCCGGAUUUAUUGGGCGUAAAGAGCGUGUAGGCGGUUUGGUAGGUCCGCUGUGAAAACUCGAGGCUCAACCUCGAGACGCCGGUGGAAACCAUCAGACUAGAGUCCGGAAGAGGAGAGUGGAAUUCCUGGUGUAGCGGUGAAAUGCGCAGAUAUCGGGAAGAACACCCGUGGCGAAGGCGGCACUCUGGGACGGUACUGACGCUGAGACGCGAAAGCGUGGGGAGCGAACAGG
rnacentral:rRNA from 1 species